UACAAUUGCUUUCCUCCAGCAGAUUAACAUUUGCUAACGGGGCCUGGCGCGGUGACACCAGCGUAAGGUUGCUUUUUGCAUGCCUGUGCUGUGGGGUUGGUGGUGGGGGCAAGGCGGUGGUAGGGGCGAGGUCAGGGCAGUGAGUGAGGUUGCCCAUGGUCAUCCUCCACCGUGCUGGGGGGUUGUCAUCUCUCGGGGCUUAGCAGUUGUUGGGGAUGGGUGAAGUCCAGUCCUGAGUCACAGUGUGUGUUGGGAGAGGUUGCUGAUAUUCAUAGCCCUGUAUGUUUGAGUAAUGACAACAUCCAUCUCCACCUUCAGGGUGAGGAGCUGUUGGCCUAUCUGUGUCUGUCUGUCUGUCUGUCAUCCGUACCUGUCUCUCCAAGGGAGAGAAGGCAGGCCCCAGGGUCUUUCCCCAGGAUGGCCUUGGGUGAGUUCCUGCUGUCCUCUCUGCCCAGGAAAUGAACGCCCUUUGAGGUCAGGUGGACGAGGAUGUCAGUGUGAAGAUGGACACUGUGCCUGGAGUGAACCUGAGCUGCAUCCUGAAUGAGAUGUGUGACCAGGACAAGAAACUGGUGGAGAAGAGCUGCAAGGAUGCCCAGGGCUGGUUCUUCAGCGUGAGAGAGCGGCUGAACUGCGAGGUGGCCACCAACACAGAGGCCCUGCAGAGCAGCAGGAUGGAGAUAUGGAGCUCUACAUCUCUGUGCAGAACCUGAGCCGUCCCAGCUCAGCAAGAAAGCAUCGCUGGAGGGCAGCCUGGUGGAGACGGAGGUGUGCUACAGGACCCAGCUGGCCCAGCUGCAGGGGCUCAUCAGAAGCAUGGAACAGCAGCUGUGCGAGCUCUGCUGUGAUGCAGAGCGCCAGGUCCUUCUGGACGUGAAGACGCGGCUGGAGCAGGAGAUCGCCACCUACAGCCGCUUGCUAGAGGUUGAGGACGCCCAGUGAGUGUGCACCCAGGAGGUGAAACUGAGGAUGCAGGCUGGAGUCUAACUGAGGAGCCUUGACUGCCAAGUUAAAGCAUCUGGACUAGAUCACGUAGGCAAUGGGGAGCCAUGGAGGGAUUUGGAGCAGAACAGGGGAAUGAACAUCAAGAUAUUUUAGAACAUUCACUCUGGCUGCAGAGGGAGAAAUGGAUCAGAGGGGUCAGGGUGGGGCCGGAGAGAUGCGUCAGGGGGCUAGAGCAGGGAGUCUGGCCAGAGAAGUCUUGCGGGGUGGAGGCUGGGUGGGGGGGCAGGGGAAGGAAGGUGGUGCGUGCAGAAGAGAGGUUAUAGCUCAAAACAGCAGGACUGGAUGCCUGGAUCUCAGGGUAAGCGUGGCUCACAGUCAGGACUCAGUAAGUGUUGGGUGAACACAUAUGAAGGAGUGGGCAUUGAUGGCCCUGGGGUUCUGGUUCUGAUGACUGUGUGAGUCCAUCAGCCACAGGGUGAAGAGCAUGGUGGGUGGUGGUCGGGUUUGCAGUUGGGAAGGGUGAUCAGGCCUUCAGCUGAGAGUGUCCUGGAGUCUCCAUGCUUAGUCACACGUUGCAGCUUUUUGCUCCCCGAAAAUGGUGAAGUCCAUCUAUAGUCUAACGACAGUCUCUCCUGCUUUAAUUGGGUCUAUUUGUUGGGUCCUCUGGGAUAUGGAAAAACCACUUGCUCAGCUUCUCCUUGUAAAUUCCUGGUGAGUGCCUCCAGGCCUACUGCUGUGCUGUUUCUUUUUCUUCUUCCUGCUGCGCUGAACCCCUGCCCUUUCAUUCUUGGUCCUGUGCUAAUUUCUGUGCAUUCCCAACUGUGAUUUUUCAACAAUUUAGGGGAACCUCCUCUGCCAGGGCCUGCUUCUCCCCAGCAGUGCUUGCAGGGGCCUGGGCUGGCUGGCAUCCCUGGGUCGAUGGGUGCUCCUCUCCCUGCAGGCUGGCCACUCAGUACUCCUUGUCCCUGGCCUCGCAGCCCACCCGGGAAGCCACAGUGACCAGCCACCAGGUGUGCCAUCGUGGAGGAAGUCCAGGUUGGAGAGGUGGUCUUCUGUGAGCAGGUCCAUCUCUCAAGCCACUGAGGCCCCUUUCUGCCUGUGACAGCCCCACCUCGAGGGUCACGGCACAGCCAUCAGCUCCAGCUCCCAGCAUGCUACUGCCACGCCCCGAGUGUCCGUCUGGGCACCGGUCCAUGACCUGUUGUCUUUCUGUAUCUACUUUCUGCAGCCCCUCACUGAGGAGGCCUCCUGGGUUUGUCCAGUGCCUGCUAUUAAAGCUUUGCUCCAAGUUCAA